rnacentral:rRNA from 1 species
UACGAAGGUGGCAAGCGUUACUCGGAAUUACUAGGCGUAAAGGGCAGGUAGGUGGUUCGGUAAGUCUGUCGUGUAAGCUCCCGGCUUAACUGGGAGAGGUCAACGGAAACUACCGGACUUGAGUAUGGGAGAGGGUUCUGGAAUUCCCGGUGUAGCGGUGAAAUGCGCAGAUAUCGGGAGGAACACCAAUGGCGAAAGCAGGAGCCUGGACCAUUACCGACGUUCAGGCACGAAAGCGUGGGGAGCAAACAGG